rnacentral:rRNA from 1 species
GAUGAACGCUAGCGGCAGGCCUAACACAUGCAAGUCGAGGGAGAAGCCCUUUCGGGGGCAGACACCGGCGCACGGGUGCGUAACGCGUAUGCAACCUACCUUUCACAGGGGGAUAGCCCGAAGAAAUUUGGAUUAAUACCCCAUAAUAUUAUUGGAUGGCAUCAUUUGAUAAUUAAAACUGCGGUGGGGAAUGAUGGGCAUGCGUCCUAUUAGCUAGUUGGAGUGGUAACGGCACCCCAAGGCUACGAUAGGUAGGGGUCCUGAGAGGGAGAUCCCCCACACUGGUACUGAGACAGGGACCAGACUCCUACGGGAGGCAGCAGUGAGGAAUAUUGGUCAAUGGUCGGAAGACUGAACCAGCCAUGCCGCGUGCAGGAAGAAUGCCUUAUGGGUUGUAAACUGCUUUUAUAUGGGAAGAAUAAGGCGUACGUGUACGUUGAUGACGGUACCAUAUGAAUAAGCAUCGGCUAACUCCGUG